GGAAAAAUAAACUACGUUAAUCCUUCUCCAAGUUGAUUACAUAAUUCAAAAGCAACAAAUAGUAGGUGUUUCAUCAAGUCAUAUUACCAACAAAAGUCGUCUCUUCAUUGACAAGUAGCAAAGAUUCCUUCCAGAUGAUCCCUCCAAAACACGUUACUAUGCCACCACCAGAAGUUAAUUCUGCACCAGUAAAAGUAGUCUCUUCAUUAGCAAGCCACCGACAAACCACCUUACCAAGAUGCUUCGCCAACAUGUGUUGCCCCACUAAUAAAGUUAUGUCACUAGUUGCACCAAUAAUAGACAGAUGCUUCACUGACAAAACACUUCAUCAAUAGGCCACUUCAUCAACAAAGUUGAUUGCCACCUCACCAAAAAGAUGCUUCACCAACAAGUCACCUCAAUAGAAAGCCACUUCAUUGACAAAAUUGAUUCUUCGCCAAGUUACUUCAGCACCAAGUUGAUUAGCUACCAAGUUACUUCACUUUCAAACAAAGAUGACCACCAC
rnacentral:lncRNA from 1 species